rnacentral:rRNA from 1 species
CCUACGGGUGGCAGCAGUGGGGAAUAUUGCACAAUGGGGGAAACCCUGAUGCAGCAACGUCGCGUGAGUGAUGAAGUACCUCGGUAUGUAAAGCUCCAUUAGCAGGGAAGUAGACGACGGCACCUGAUUCAGAAUCCCCGGCCAACUACGGGCCAGCAGCCGCGGUUCCACGGAAGGGGCCGGCGUUAUCCGGAUUUACUGGGUGUAAAGGGAGCGCAGUCGGCAGUGCAAGUCUGGAGUGAAAGCCCGGGGCCCAACCCCGGAACUGCCCGGGAAACUGGGCGGCUAGAGUGCUCGAGGGGCAGGCGGAAUUCGUGGUGUAGCGGUGAAAUGCGUAGAUAUUAGGAGGAACACCGAUGGCGAAGGCAGCCUGCUGGAGAGUAACUGACGUUGAGGCUCGAAGGCGUGGGGAGCAAACAGGAUUAGAUACCCGGGUAGUC